GACGAACGCUGGCGGCGUGCCUAAUACAUGCAAGUAGAACGCUGAAGGAGGAGCUUGCUCUUCUGGAUGAGUUGCGAACGGGUGAGUAACGCGUAGGUAACCUGCCUGGUAGCGGGGGAUAACUAUUGGAAACGAUAGCUAAUACCGCAUAACAGUAGAUGUUGCAUGACAUUUACUUAAAAGGUGCACUUGCAUCACUACCAGAUGGACCUGCGUUGUAUUAGCUAGUUGGUGGGGUAACGGCUCACCAAGGCGACGAUACAUAGCCGACCUGAGAGGGUGAUCGGCCAACCUGGGACUGGGACACGGCCCAGACCCCUACGGGAGGCAGCAGUAGGGAAUCUUCGGAAAUGGACGGAAGGCUGACCGAGCAAAGCCGCGUGAGUGAAGAAGGUUUUCGGAUCGGAAAGCUCUGUUGCAAGAGAAGAACGAGUGUGAGAGUGGAAAGUUCACACUGUGACGGUAUCUUACCAGAAAGGGACGGCUAACUACGUG
rnacentral:rRNA from 1 species